GAUGAACGCUGGCGGCGUGCCUAAUACAUGCAAGUCGAGCGAACGGACGAGAAGCUUGCUUCUCUGAUGUUAGCGGCGGACGGGUGAGUAACACGUGGAUAACCUACCUAUAAGACUGGGAUAACUUCGGGAAACCGGAGCUAAUACCGGAUAAUAUUUUGAACCGCAUGGUUCAAAAGUGAAAGACGGUCUUGCUGUCACUUAUAGAUGGAUCCGCGCUGCAUUAGCUAGUUGGUAAGGUAACGGCUUACCAAGGCAACGAUGCAUAGCCGACCUGAGAGGGUGAUCGGCCACACUGGAACUGAGACACGGUCCAGACUCCUAAGGGAGGCAGCAGUAGGGAAUCUUCCGCAAUGGGCGAAAGCCUGACGGAGAAACGCCGCGUGAGUGAUGAAGGUCUUCGGAUCGUAAAACUCUGUUAUGAGGGAAGAACAUAUGUGUAAGUAACUGUGCACAUCUUGACGGUACCUAAUCAGAAAGCCACGGCUAACUACGUG
rnacentral:rRNA from 1 species